AAAGUCAUUCGGACAGUCGCGCUUAUAAUGAGUGAGGAAAGUCCGGGCUUUACAGAGCAAGAUGCCAGAUACCGUCUGGGAGGCGUGAGCCUACGGAAAGUGCAACAGAAAAUAUACCGCCUUAUUUUUUAAGGGAAGGGUGAAAAGGUGUGGUAAGAGCGCACCGCAUUGGUGGUAACACUCAAUGGCA
rnacentral:RNase_P_RNA from 1 species